rnacentral:lncRNA from 1 species
GAGUUGUCUUCCUGCUGCUCUGGUGAAUUGACCCAGUUCUCAGUGUAUAACUUUGUAUGCAAUUAUCACUGCAAAAAAAAAAAACAGCAGAUUCUGUGCUCAAAUUGAAACUAAAGAAUCCUGUGUUCAAAUAAUAGAAUAAUGAUCAUAUUCUUGUAACUCGAUCUGAGUGUAGUUCAGUGUAGAAUAAUAGAAUGAUGCAGUUCAGUGAUAUCUUCAGCCUGAAUAACAUGAGUGUUUUGACUGACAACCUAUGCCUACAAUCAGUUUUGGUCCAGAAAGAAAGAUAAAAUUUACAUGUCUGCCACCAUUAGAAGCAAACCUUCAAUACUUAUUAUUAAAUUAAAGCCAAAAAUUUUAAAGGUAAAAUCUUAUUCUGUGUAGUACAAAAUCAUGGAUCCUGCAUUGAUUAAUAACCAUGGAGCAGCAUGCUUCAGGAAAAAAGAAUAGGCAUGUACAAGUUGUAAAAUCACAGAAAUUAGCCAUCUAUCUUAUACUGUGAUACAAAUGUUGAAAUUCUGUCACGUGAUCCGACUUCUAACCAAAAAUAAACACAAGAUUCCAUUAAGGACAGUCGAUAUAUUACCCUAAGCUACACUUGACUGUCUUACAAGACACCACCAAUUAGGAACGACACUUCAAAAUUCUUCAAAACAAUGAAAACAUUUACUAAGUUUAGAUAAGAACAAAUUGAAGAAUUAAUACAACCUCCAUAAACUGAAUCAGAGUACAAGUGCCACCUCUUCAACUCCUCCUUUGAAUUAAAGUUGAACACAAAUCUUUCACUUGGAGCCAUUGGAUGAUCUACAUUCCAUGCCAGGGCUGUAAAUUAACAUUAAAAAGAAAAAGAAAAGUCCUAAACCAAUUUCAAGAUACUGUAUCCCCUUUUUCAAUAAACCUUGUUAAACAAUUUGGAAGCAGCUAAAAUUUCUCUUCAUUAUUUAUCUUAAAUUGCCAUCAAAAAAUUAUUGCAAAGGAUUUAAUUUUAUUUUCAAUUAAUAGUAGCAUUAAGAUCAUUAAACAAUUUCAUGUCAUUAAGUCAUGACAAUAUAAUAAGAUGCACAUGUGAGCAGAUUUAUUUUAUACAAUCAUGUCUGCAUCAGAACAGCAUAAGUCUAACGAGUUCAAAACAAAUGAAGCAGGCAAGAAGCAGAUAUAAUUUCUGAUAAUUGUAUGCAUGCUUACAACAACCAAUGCAUAUUGCAAAACUUCCCAUGAUAUGAAAAUGUGUUGGUAGUUAGUGGAUAUUAACUUCAAAGCAAAUAGCAUAAUUUAAAAGGCAUUUUAGAAAGUAUUAAUUCUGGAAACUGAUAUCUUUGAGUUCAAUCAUUCAUGGUCAACCAAAUGCCACUUAGAAUCAACAGGAAGGCUCUGCAACAUAGAAGUGCUUACCAAAAUGUCUUUCUACUUUUUUUCUCGCUCAUUGUCCACGGUUCUACUUGAUUCCAACCAAUUUUAAACGUUGUUUUAACUCUCACCAGACAUGCAUGUUACAAUAUAGUGACACACAAAAAUGCAUCACCCUGUGGUCAAUCAACUUAUAAUAUAUGGAUCUGCAGUGAUGACUUCAGAAAUUCAUAACCGUGAUCCUUUGGUGCAAUGCUAGGUAGGCAAUAAAAAUACACUUGAAAGAAGUCAUAUUACAGGAGACAGUGAUAUCCUCAAUUGCUGGAUAUUUUCUGUCAGCCACUCAACUACGAUUUUCUAGGGACGAGGAUUUGUUGUCCCUUGUGAUGCAUCGUCACUUUGGCCCAUAACUUUAUUCUUGAAAAAGACAUAUUGCUAGAUGUGGAACAAUGUGGAUACGACAACGACAUUGAAUAAUUUGGACUUGUUGAUGGCAAAAGGACCUAUAUUUCGACGUACAUGAAAUGUGGGAAUCAUGGAUUAGGUUUUCCAGUAGGGGCAAAAACAUACACUAUGUGAAAGCUUUCUUACGAAUGCGCAC